UACGGGGGGAGCAAGCGUUUGUUCGGAUUUACUGGGCGUAAAGGGCGCGUAGGCGGUCGUGACAAGUCACUUGUGAAAUCUCCGGGCUUAACUCGGAACGGUCAAGUGAUACUGUCGGACUAGAGUACAGAAGGGGCAACUGGAAUUCUCGGUGUAGCGGUGAAAUGCGUAGAUAUCGAGAGGAACACCUGCGGCGAAGGCGGGUUGCUGGGCUGAUACUGACGCUGAGGCGCGAAAGCCAGGGGAGCGAACGGGG
rnacentral:rRNA from 1 species